CGACCCCUCACCUGGAGGAAGGUUUGGUGCUGCAGGGUGUUGGCUGCCUGCAGAACCGACGUCCCAUGCUCCAUGUCCUGCUCCAGGGCCAGCAGCUGUUUGCCAUUUUCUGGAGCCCUUUAGCAAACUCCAUCUCUGGAAGAAAAAGUUUGGAAGUGAAAAGGCACACGAGACACUGGGAAUUCCCUGGAGGAACCCAAUCUUCUUUUGAAAGAUAAAUCAGGAACUUGAAGAGUGAAGUUCCCACUUCCCUGGCAGUGUUGGUCUCCCCGCAGACUCUUGUAUGAGAUCAGGUCCUUCAUGUACUUGGAGAUGGUUUUGGCGUACUGGAGUGCAGCAUCCACCCCCCCCUCGCAGCGCUGCAGCAUCACGUCCACUUCCUCGGCCG